rnacentral:rRNA from 1 species
AUACGUAGGGGGCAAGCGUUGUCCGGAAUCAUUGGGCGUAAAGCGCGUGUAGGCGGCUAGGUAAGUCUGCUCUGAAAGCCCGGGGCUCAACCCCGGGAGGCGGGUGGAUACUGUCUAGCUCGAGUCCGGAAGAGGAGUGUGGAAUUCCUGGUGUAGCGGUGAAAUGCGCAGAUAUCAGGAGGAACACCAAUGGCGAAGGCAGCACUCUGGGACGUGACUGACGCUGAGACGCGAAAGCGUGGGGAGAAAACAG